UCAGGUGACUAUAGCAUCAGGGUUCCACCUCUUCCCAUUCCGAACAGAGAAGUUAAGCCUGAUCACGCCGAUGGUACUGCGUAACAGUGGGAGAGUA
rnacentral:rRNA from 1 species